CCUACGGGAGGCAGCAGUGGGGAAUAUUGCACAAUGGGGGAAACCCUGAUGCAGCGACGCCGCGUGAGUGAAGAAGUAUUUCGGUAUGUAAAGCUCUAUCAGCAGGGAAGAAAUAAAGUCCUUCGGACUUUGGACGGUACCUGACUAGGAAGCCCCGGCUAACUACGUGCCAGCAGCCGCGGUAAUACGUAGGGGGCAAGCGUUAUCCGGAUGUACUGGGUGUAAAGGGAGCGUAGACGGCAGCGCAAGUCUGGAGUGAAAUCCCAUGGCUUAACCCUGGAACUGCUUUGGAAACUGUGCAGCUGGAGUGCAGGAGAGGUAAGCGGAAUUCCUAGUGUAGCGGUGAAAUGCGUAGAUAGUAGGAGGAACACCAGUGGCGAAGGCGGCUUACUGGACUGUAACUGACGUUGAGGCUCGAAAGCGUGGGGAGCAAACAGGAUUAGAUACCCCGGUAGUC
rnacentral:rRNA from 1 species